CCUACGGGUGGCAGCAGUGGGGAAUACUGCACAAUGGGCGCAAGCCUGAUGCAGCCAUGCCGCGUGUGUGAAGAAGGCCUUCGGGUUGUAAAGCACUUUCAGCGGGGAGGAAGGCGGUGAGGUUAAUAACCUCAUCGAUUGACGUUACCCGCAGAAGAAGCACCGGCUAACUCCGUGCCAGCAGCCGCGGUAAUACGGAGGGCGCAAGCGUUAAUCGGAAUUACUGGGCGUAAAGCGCACGCAGGCGGUCUGUCAAGUCGGAUGUGAAAUCCCCGGGCUCAACCUGGGAACUGCAUUCGAAACUGGCAGGCUAGAGUCUUGUAGAGGGGGGUAGAAUUCCAGGUGUAGCGGUGAAAUGCGUAGAGAUCUGGAGGAAUACCGGUGGCGAAGGCGGCCCCCUGGACAAAGACUGACGCUCAGGUGCGAAAGCGUGGGGAGCAAACAGGAUUAGAUACCCGGGUAGUC
rnacentral:rRNA from 1 species